rnacentral:tRNA from 1 species
GGUGAUGCUAUACAUACCUUUUGGGAGAGCAUUACGUUCGCAACGUAGGGGUCGAGGGUUCGAAUCCCUUCAUCUCCACCA